UCUCUUCCAGGCAACCUUGCAGGGAGA
rnacentral:sRNA from 1 species